AAUUUGCGUUAGGGAUUGAGCGGUUUGUUGAAGCUCUUUUGGUUUUUCACCAAAAAGCGACUAGCGAAAGCCCGCCCGAAC
rnacentral:sRNA from 1 species